CAGUGUUAUAGCUAGCUCUUUUGGAAUUUAUCCAGCCGGCUUUCUGGCAAAUGCCAGAAAGUCAUU
ensembl:snRNA U7 U7 small nuclear RNA